UCAUGGAGGGAGUUUGUCCCUUUUUUGUCCUUUUGCCUUCUGCCACAUAAGGACACAGAAUUCCUCUCCAGAAGUAGCAGUUAAGAGGCCUUCUUGGAAGCAGAGACCAACUGCUUGGAAGCAGAGACCUCACCAGACAACAAACCUGCCAGCACCUGUGCCUUGAUCUCGAACUUUGCAGCCCCAGAACGAUUAUUUCUGUCUGGUGAAACUGAUCAUUCCAGAGCCUGAACUGAUGGCCUUAUGGGGAGUUCCCUAUGAUCCAUUGACAGAGGAAGAGAAAACUAGGGCCUAGCUCACAGAUGGCUCUGCAUGAUAAGUAGGCACCACUCAAAAGUGGACUGCUGCUGCACUACAGCCCCUUUCUAGGACAUCCCUAAUGGACAGUGGCAAAGGGAAAUCUCCCAGUGGGCAGACCUUCAAGCUCUGUACCUGAUUGUGCACUUUGCUUGGAAGAAGAACUGGCCAGAUAUGUGAUUAUAUACCAAUUCAUGGGCUGUAGCCAAUGGUUUGGAUAGGUGAUCCUGGACUUGGAAGAAGCAUGAUUGGAAAAUUGGUGACAAAAAAUUUGGGGAAGAGGUAUGUGGAUGGACCUCUCUAAGUGGUCAAAAAUGGUGAAGAUAUUUGUAUUUCAUGUGAGUGCUCACCAAAGUGUGACCUCAGCAGAGGGGGAUUUUAAUAAUGAAGUGUAUAGGAUGACUCAUUCUGUGGACACCACUCAGCCUCUUUCCCCAGCCAGCCCUGUCAUCGUCCAAUGGGCCCAUGAAAAAAGUGGCCAUAGUAGCAGGGAUGGAAGUUAUGCCUGGGCUCAGCAACAUGGACUUCCACUCACCAAGGCUGACCACCAACAAACUGGGCCACCACUGGGUAGCAGAGACCAUCACUGAAUCCUUGAUAUGGCACAAUUCCCUGGGGUGAUCCGAUAGCUACUUGGUGGCAGGUUGACUAUAUUAGACCUCUUCCAUUAUGGAAAGGGCAGCGGUUUGUCCUCACUGGAAUAGACACUUACUCUUGCUAUGGGUUUGCCUCUCCUGCACACAAUGCUUCUGCCACGACUACCAUCCAUGGACUCAGGGAAUGCCUUAUCCACCAUCAUGUUAUUCCACAUAGCAUUGCCUCUGACCAAGGUACCCACUUUAUGGCUAAAGAAGUACAGCAGUGGACUCACACUCAUGGGAUUCACUGGUCUUACCAUUUUCCCCAUCAUCCUGAAGCAGCUGGAUUGAUAGAAUGGUAGAAUGUCCAUUUGAAGUCACAAUUACAAUGCCACCUAGGUGACAAUACUUUGCAGGGCUGAAGGAAAGUUCUUCAGAAAGCUAUGAAUGUUCUGAAUCAGGGUCCUACAUAUGGUACUGUUUCUCCCAUAGCCAGGAUUCACGGGUCCAGGAAUCAAGGGGUGGAAGUGGACCACUCACCAUCACCCCUAGUGAUCCACUAGCAAAAGUUUUCCUUCCUGUUCCCACAACAUUACAUUCUCCUGGCCUAGAGGUCUUAGUUCCAGAAGGAGGAAUGUUGCCUCCAGGAGACACAAAAAUGAUUCUAUUGAACUGCAAGUUAAGAUUGCCAUCUGGCCACCUUGUUCUCCUCCUACCUUUAAGUCAACAGGCUAAUAAGGGAGUUACAGUGUUGGCUGGAGUGAUUGACUCAGACUAUCAAGAUAAAAUCAGUCUACUCCACCACAAUGUAGAGAAAUGUAAGCUCCUCAAGAGCAAGGGUGCUUGUCCUAGCCAGCAAGACACUGCCUAGUACAUA